GGUGUUGUAGCUCAGUGGUAGAGCUCUUGCCUGGCAUGUGUGAGGCCCUGGGUUCGAUCCUCUGCACCA
rnacentral:tRNA from 1 species